GUCAACUACCGCACGCUGAAUCAUAGAUUACAGCGUGGGCUUGAAAGAGUCUGUUGACCAGACGGCUAGUUUUAUUAUUAGCAGCCGUUAAGACCAAGAGUUAAAAUUCCUACCCUGGAGUACGUGCCAGCUCUAGGCUCUAGAAGUAAGUAAUUAAACAGGUCAUUCGGGAAAGCCAGUGUUACUUACAAAGUACCGAGUCUUAACAUCGUCGUUCGCGCAAGCGUGUGCAAA
rfam:Lyngbya majuscula 3L genomic scaffold scf52026, whole genome shotgun sequence.